UUAUAAAUCAUCCUUGCACUACUUAUGUCGUACAUUGAUGAUUUAUGAAG
rnacentral:pre_miRNA from 1 species